GACGAACGCUGGCGGCGUGCUUAACACAUGCAAGUCGAACGGAAAGGCCCUGCUUUUGUGGGGUGCUCGAGUGGCGAACGGGUGAGUAACACGUGAGUAACCUGCCCUUGACUUUGGGAUAACUUCAGGAAACUGGGGCUAAUACCGGAUAGGAGCUCCUGCUGCAUGGUGGGGGUUGGAAAGUUUCGGCGGUUGGGGCUGGACUCGCGGCUUAUCGGCUUGUUGGUGGGGUAGUGGCAUUCCAAGGCUUUGACGGGUAGCCGGCCUGGGAGGGUGACCGGCCACAUUGGAACUGAGAUACGGCCCAGACUCCUACGGGAGGCAGCGGUGGAGAGUAGUACACAGUGGACGGAAGCCAGAUGCAGCAACGCCGCGUGCGGUAUGAGGGCAUUCGGGUUGAAAACCGCUGUCGCCUGAGACGAGGCGAGAGUGACGGUACUGGGUAAAGAAGCACCGGCUAACUACGUG
rnacentral:rRNA from 1 species